UAGUGUUACAGCUCUUUUAGAAUUUGUCUAGUGGGGUUUUGGUUUUUGCUGGAAAGUCCCCU
rnacentral:snRNA from 1 species